UAUGUUUGUGCCUCUUUGAAGUAUUUGCACCGCUAUUUGAUAAGUUCCUACGUGGAACGGAACGUUCCACAGCUGUCAAAAUAAUUUUACAGAACCUAUUGUAAUUGUUUAAGGGUUCAUUGACAUCAUACUCGAAAUCCAAAAGUAAUUGAUUAACAGUUUCAGAAUAAAGAUCCCAAUUAACGAGACAUGCUGCAACGCUCAGAAUUCUUACAGAAUUUAGCUAAAUGUCCAUACCUCAAGCACCGGUAGCAUUGUUUAACUGGUGGUAUAUAUGGAGUGACAUUGUGGCGCCAACCUCCAAUAUCCAGAUAUUCAGGUAAUACAGAUGCAGCAAAAGUAAUUGUCACGGUUAGAGUUGGCUGUAACACAUAUCCAUGAGUCAAGAUUCUGAGUCAGUAGAAGUAUCUUCCGAAUAUAUAUCCUUGUCAUUACAAGGUUCAUGGUCUACAUCACCUGAAUCGUCAUUUUUUUUUCCUUUUUCUACAACUGCGCUUCCCCAUGAAUGCUAAUUAUAUUAC